rfam:Stegodyphus mimosarum contig85977, whole genome shotgun sequence.
GCCUUCGUGGUGUAGUGGUCAGCACGCUCUGCGCGUAUCGAGAGGUCAGUGGUUCGAGUCCCGGCGAAAGUA